UACGUAGGCAGCAAGCGUUGUUCGGAGUUACUGGGCGUAAAGGGUGUGUAGGCGGUCCUCUAAGUUUGGUGUGAAAUCUCCCGGCUCAACUGGGAGGGUGCGCCGAAAAACUGGAGGACUAGAGUGCGGGAUGGGAGAGUGGAAUUCCUGGUGUAGCGGUGAAAUGCGUAGAUAUCAGGAGGAACACCUGUGGUGUAGACGGCUCUCUGGACCGCAACUGACGCUGAGACACGAAAAGCGUGGGUAGCAAACAGG
rnacentral:rRNA from 1 species